rnacentral:rRNA from 1 species
GAUGAACGCUGGCGGCGUGCCUAAUACAUGCAAGUCGAGCGAACAGACGAGGAGCUUGCUCCUUCGACGUUAGCGGCGGACGGGUGAGUAACACGUAGGUAACCUACCUAUAAGACUGGGAUAACUUCGGGAAACCGGAGCUAAUACCGGAUAAUAUUUCGAACCGCAUGGUUCGAUAGUGAAAGAUGGCUUUGCUAUCACUUAUAGAUGGACCUGCGCCGUAUUAGCUAGUUGGUAAGGUAACGGCCUACCAAGGCAACGAUACGUAGCCGACCUGAGAGGGUGAUCGGCCACACUGGAACUGAGACACGGUCCAGACUCCUACGGGAGGCAGCAGUAGGGAAUCUGCCGCAAUGGGCGAAAGCCUGACGGAGCAACGCCGCGUGAGUGAUGUAGGUCUUCGGAUCGUAAAACUCUGUUAUUAGGGAAGAACAAGCGUGUAAGGAACUGUGCACGUCUUGACGGUACCUAAUCAGAAAGCCACGGCUAACUACGUG